GCUGCUGUAGGGUGGGAGGAGAGAGGAGUUACCUUAUCAGCUGUCUUGUCUCCCAUCCUUUCCUUCUGCAGAAGC
rnacentral:pre_miRNA from 1 species